UACGGAGGGAGCUAGCGUUGUUCGGAAUUACUGGGCGUAAAGAGUACGUAGGCGGUUAUUCAAGUCAGAGGUGAAAGCCUGGAGCUCAACUCCAGAACUGCCUUUGAAACUAGAUAACUUGAAUCACGGAGAGGUUAGUGGAAUUCCGAGUGUAGAGGUGAAAUUCGUAGAUAUUCGGAAGAACACCAGUGGCGAAGGCGACUAACUGGACGUGUAUUGACGCUGAGGUACGAAAGCGUGGGGAGCAAACAGGAUUAGAUACCCUGGUAGUCCACGCCGUAAACGAUGAUAACUAGUUGUUCGGGCUCUCAGAGCCUGAGUGACGCAGCUAACGCAUUAAGUUAUCCGCCUGGGGAGUACGGUCGCAAGAUUAAA
rnacentral:rRNA from 1 species